rnacentral:rRNA from 1 species
GAGUAACCUGCCCUUGACUCUGGGAUAAGCCUGGGAAACUGGGUCUAAUACCGGAUAUGACCAUCUGACGCAUGUCAUGGUGGUGGAAAGCUUUUGUGGUUUUGGAUGGACUCGCGGCCUAUCAGCUUGUUGGUGGGGUAAUGGCCUACCAAGGCGACGACGGGUAGCCGGCCUGAGAGGGUGACCGGCCACACUGGGACUGAGACACGGCCCAGACUCCUACGGGAGGCAGCAGUGGGGAAUAUUGCACAAUGGGCGGAAGCCUGAUGCAGCGACGCCGCGUGAGGGAUGACGGCCUUCGGGUUGUAAACCUCUUUCAGUAGGGAAGAAGCGAAAGUGACGGUACCUGCAGAAGAAGCGCCGGCUAACUACGUGCCAGCAGCCGCGGUAAUACGUAGGGCGCAAGCGUUAUCCGGAAUUAUUGGGCGUAAAGAGCUCGUAGGCGGUUUGUCGCGUCUGCUGUGAAAGACCGGGGCUCAACUCCGGUUCUGCAGUGGGUACGGGCAGACUAGAGUGCAGUAGGGGAGACUGGAAUUCCUGGUGUAGCGGUGAAAUG